rnacentral:rRNA from 1 species
UGAGGAAUAUUGGGCAAUGCCCGCAAGGGUGACCCAGCAACGCCGCGUGGAGGAUGAAUGUCGUAAGAUUGUAAACUCCUGUUAGAGGGGAAGAAUAGUACCGGUUGGACCGGUAUAUGACUGUACCCUCAGAGAAAGCCCCGGCUAACUACGUGCCAGCAGCCGCGGUAAUACGUAGGGGGCAAGCGUUGUCCGGAUUUACUGGGUGUAAAGGGCGCGCAGGCGGGAUAAAAAGUCAGUGGUGAAAUCCUACAGCUUAACUGUAGAACUGCCGUCGAUACUUUUAUUCUUGAGUUCGGGAGAGAGAGACGGAAUUCCAGGUGUAGUGGUGAAAUACGUAGAUAUCUGGAAGAACACCAGUUGCGAAGGCGGUCUCUUGGUCCGACACUGACGCUGAGGCGCGAAAGCGUGGGGAGCAAACA